rnacentral:rRNA from 1 species
GAGGAAUAUUGGUCAAUGGACGGAAGUCUGAACCAGCCAAGUAGCGUGCAGGAUGACGGCCCUAUGGGUUGUAAACUGCUUUUGUAUGGGGAUAAAGUUAGGGACGUGUCCCUAUUUGCAGGUACCAUACGAAUAAGGACCGGCUAAUUCCGUGCCUGCAGCCGCGGUAAUACGGAAGGUCCAGGCGUUAUCCGGAUUUAUUGGGUUUAAAGGGAGCGUAGGCUGGAGAUUAAGUGUGUUGUGAAAUGUAGACGCUCAACGUCUGAAUUGCAGCGCAUACUGGUUUCCUUGAGUACGCACAACGUUGGCGGAAUUCGUCGUGUAGCGGUGAAAUGCUUAGAUAUGACGAAGAACUCCGAUUGCGAAGGCAGCUGACGGGAGCGCAACUGACGCUUAAGCUCGAAGGUGCGGGUAUCAAACAGGAUUAGAUACCCUGGUAGUCCGCACAGUAAACGAUGGAUGCCCGCUGUUGGUACCUGGUAUCAGCGGCUAAGCGAAAGCAUUAAGCAUCCCACCUGGGGAGUACGCCGGCAACGGUG